AAGAUCAUUUUCUAUUCUCUUCAUCUUGUAUAAAUAUGACAGUACUAUUUCUCCCAUUAAGAAAUAAUUUAUGUUUGUAUUCACCACACAUAGUGUGUUUUUUUUUCAAUCAAUAAGAAACACAGUUCUUGAAUAUGAUUUCAUAGAAUUCAAUCUUUAAAAUGGUAUCAGAGAGCUUCAAUUCAUAGAUCCAUAAGUUAUUCUCUUUUUUCGCUUCAUCUUCAUUCCGCUCUUUAAAUCUGUGAUUAUUUCAGUUCUUUGUACUUCUACAUCAUCUGAUUCUAAUCAAGAAGAUCUUGUUCAUAAACAUACUAAAUCCACCAUGGAUGAUUCUGUUUAGAUUCUUCGCUUUAAAUGACCACAACUAUUUAUUCAUAUGUUAUUGACCAAACUAUCUAAUAAGAACUAUUUUUGACGGAAUCAACAAGUUGACGGUGUCAUCACUGCGUACAAGCUACAUCGUUUUGCAGCGACUCCGUAAAUUCCUCCAAAUUUUGAAUUGGAAGCAUAUCGUUUUCUCAACAAAGUAUUUGAUUUGUAUCAAUCUUGGUUACUAAAGGAUCAAAUGCUUCUUACUUGGUUCAUUUCAUUUCUUUCAGAGGAAAUCUUACCAUGUGUGAUUUGAUGCAAGCAUUCUUGGAAAAUUUGGGAUAAAAUUCAUAAGUAUUUUCACUCCUAUUUGAAAGCUAAAGUUCACCAGUUACGAUAUGAGCUCAAGAACACGAAGAAAGGUUCGCGCACCAUCUAUUAAUAUCUACUUAGAAUUAAAUGCACUAUUGAUUCUUUUUAGGUUGUUGAAGGAUUGUCCACAUGUAGAUGACAUUGAAGCCUUGAUUCUUGUUCAAGAAGUUCAGUUUGAAAAAUGCAGACAAGAAUUAUCUACACCGUAUGUUACGCCGAAUAUUGCACAAACAAGCAAUUAUCAAAACCCUAAUUCUCAUAAUUACAAUGCCACCUCAAAUCAAUUCAAUCAUGGUAGAUCCAUUGACGACGAUAAAGGUCGUGGAUAUCUUGGGGGACGAGGCCGAUCUAGAGGACGUGGUGGAACUAGACCUACAUGCCAAUUAUGCAACAAGUAUUGUCAUGAUAUUUUUCACUGUUAGCACAUAUUUGAGCAAACUUUUCCCCAAUUCGUUGAAUUUUCCAUCUUAAAACCUGAAACUGACUUUUACUACACCUAGGUCAAAUUCUCAACCUGUUAAUCCAUUAGCAAAUUUGGCAAUGCAACACCAACCUUCAAUUUCUAGAUAUUCUUAUCCCCAUAAUUUUGAUGCAUAAUCUUGGUAUCCAAACUCUUGGGCUUCACAUCAUCUUACUGCAGAUCAACAAAACUUCACUCAAAGUAUUCCCUACAAUGGCUCCAAUCAAAGUUUUAAUGGGUAAUGGACAAGGCUGCCUACAACCAAUCUCAUUGAAUUUACCUCACCUUACCAUGCUUUAAAUAAAUAAAAAAAGAAUACAUGAUUAUCAUUCCUUUAUAGUGUUUGGUUGUACUUGAUAUCCUUUAUUGAGGCCUUCUAACAAACAAAAGCUUGAUUUUAGAUCCAUUGAAUGUGUAACAUGGGUCGCUCUCCAUUACAUAAAGGACACAAAUCUAUGACUGCAUCGAGAAAUAUUUAUAUUUCUAAAGAUGUGAGAUUCAAUUAAACCAAAUUUCCUUAUAGUAAAAUGUUUGGCAGAACUUUUCCUAAUACUCACUCACAUGUUACUUAUCUCGCUUCUAUUUCAUUUCUAGUCACAAAACAUCCUUUACCAACUCAACAACAAUUAGUUCCUCAAAACUCUCCUGAACCACAUAGUCCUACUCUGGUACCCCUUAUAUCCACUUUACUUGAAUCUUAAUCAGUAUCCCAAUAACCUACAACUACUUCACGAAUACCUUAUAUAUCAUUUUCAUCAUCUUUACCUACAAACCUUAUUCCACAAAUAAAUCCUAUUUUACAUAACUAGAACAUUCAACAAAUUGACAUAAAUAAUGAUUUCCCCAAUCGCACCUUGCAAGAGGAAGUUUUUAUGAAGCAACCUUCUGGUUUUGUGUAUCAAACAAGUCCUUGGUGUGUAAAUUGAACAAGACUAUUAAUGGAUUGAAGCAGGCUCUUAGGGCAUGGAAUGAAUGUCUCACUAAUUUUCUCAUUCAGUUUGGUUUCCUUCCAAGUAUUGGGACUUAAUUGUAUGUUCUCAUUAUUGGGUCUACUCCUCAAUUAAUUUAGGAUCUAAUCUCUAAACUCAACACCAAGUUUGCCAAAAAAAAAUAUUUGGGAUCAUUGGAUUAUUUUCUUGGCAUUGAGGUAAAACAUUUAGCCAAUGGUUGUAUUCUUCUGUUACAAGACAAGUAUAUUCAUGAUUUCUUGGUUAGGUCAAACAUGACUAAUGCAAAGGGAAUCUCAUCUCCAAUGGUAUCCUCUUGUAAACUCAACAAAUUUGGAACUAGUUCUUUAUCAAAUCCAAUUAUGUAAUAUCCAUCAUUUGAGCUCUUCAAUAUGUUACUUUUACUCGUCCAUAAAUUACAUACAGUGUAAAUAAAGUCUACCCAUUUAUAUCUAAGCCAUUGGAAUCACAUUGGAAAUCAAUUAAAUAAAUUCUGAGAUA